GUGCCAGCAGCCGCGGUAAUACGUAGGGUGCAAGCGUUGUCCGGAAUUAUUGGGCGUAAAGAGCUCGUAGGCGGUGUGUCACGUCUGCCGUGAAAACCUGCGGCUUAACCGUGGGCGUGCGGUGGAUACGGGCAUCACUUGAGUUCGGUAGGGGAGACUGGAAUUCCUGGUGUAGCGGUGGAAUGCGCAGAUAUCAGGAGGAACACCGGUGGCGAAGGCGGGUCUCUGGGCCGAUACUGACGCUGAGGAGCGAAAGCGUGGGGAGCGAACAGGAUUAGAUACCCUGGUAGUCC
rnacentral:rRNA from 1 species